rnacentral:rRNA from 1 species
GAGUUUGAUCCUGGCUCAGGAUGAACGCUAGCUGAACGCCUAACACAUGCAAGUCGAACGAGAAACUCUCUUCGGAGAGCGGAAAGUGGCAAACGGGCGAGUAACGCGUACUUAACCUACCCCAGAGUCGUGGACAACUAUGGAGACAUAGCUAAUCCCCGAUACGCUCUAAAGGCUGUAAUGCCUUAAGAGGAAAGAUUUAUCGCUCAGGGAGGGGGGUGCGUCCUAUCAGGUAGUUGGUGAGGUAAUGGCUCACCAAGCCUAAGACGGGUAGCCGGUCUGAGAGGAUGUCCGGCCGCAAUGGAACUGAGACACGGUCCAUACCCCUACGGGGGGCAGCAGUGGGGAAUAUUGCACAAUGGGCGCAAGCCUGAUGCAGCGAUUCAGCGUGGAGGAUGACGCAUUACGGUGUGUAAACUCCUUUUCUGGUGGAAGACGAUUGACGGUACACCAGGAAUAAGGGACGGCUAACUAUGUGCCAGCAGCCACGGUAAUACAUAGGUCUCGAGCGUUAUCCGGAAUUACUGGGCGUAAAGCGUCCGUAGCCGGUCUGGUAAGUCUGUUUUCAAAUACUACGACUCAAUCGUAGGAAGGGAAUGGAUACUGCCAAACUAGAAGAUUGUGGAGGUAAGUGGAAUUUCCGGUGGAGCGGUGAAAUGCGUUGAUAUCGGAAGGAACGCCAAAAGCGAAAGCAGCUUACUAUGCAACUCUUGACGGUGAGGGACGAAAGCUUGGGUAGCAAACGGGAUUAGAUACCCCGGUAGUCCAAGCCGUAAAUGAUGUCUGCUAGGUGUAUGUUUCCUACGGGGAAUGUGUGCCGUAAUCUAACGAGUUAAGCAGACCGCCUGUGUAGUAUAUUCGCAAGAAUGAAACACAAAGGGAUAGGCGGGGGAACACACAAGCAGUGGAUGAUCUAGAUUAAUUGGAUAAUAAGCCAUAAACCUUACCUAGGCUUGACAUGUACUUUGUCGUAUGCGAAAGCAUACUAGUCUCGCUUGCGAGGCGGGGUACACAGGUGGUGCAUGGUCGUCGUCAGCUCGUGCCGCAAGGUGUCUAGUUUAGUCUAGGAACGAGCGCAACCCUCAUCAUUAGUUACAAUUUCUAAUGAGACUGCCUGGGCAACCAGGAGGAAGGAGAGGAUGACGUCAGAUCCGCAUGCCCCUUACGCCUAGGGCGUCAUAGGUCAUACAAUGGGUAGUAACAAUAAGAAGCGAUACCGUGAGGUGGAGCAAAUCUCUAAACCUACCCCUAGUUCGGAUUGUAGUCUGCAACUCGACUACAUGAAGCCGGAAUUGCUAGUAAUGGUAGAUCAGUCAUGCUACCGUGAAUAUGUCCCUGUUCCUUGCACUCACCGCCCGUC